GAAGAGGUACCGAGAGGGAACUGCCGUGCGCAGAUCUGGAGGAAGGCUGUUCUAGACGGAUGCGGGUGCAAAGGCCUAAGGCGGGGAGAAGCGUGGCCUGGUUGAGAAAAGGCAGGAAGGCCAGUGUGUCUGGGGAAAUCAAAGGCGGAGUGGGCAGACGGGAGAUGAGGUGGGAGAUACAAGCAGGGCCCUGUUCACGAGGUCCUUGUGUGGAUGUGUGGUUUUACUCACGGAGGAAUGGGAAGUCAUUGAAAGACUUUUUAAACGAUGCUGAUAUGCUCUGAUUUGCAUUUUCCAAAGGUAACUGGUCGAAUGGAUUUUUGAGCACAUGUAUCUCUGAGAAGAAGAGGUUGCUUUUCAAGAGUGGCUUGGAGGCCUCUUGCAUCAGGAUCACCAAAGGUGCUUGGAAAAUGAAGUCUCUGGGCCUUUCCUAGGCCUCCUGAGUCAGAAUUUCCAGAACCUGCAUUUCAGAUCAGCUCCCUAAGUGAUCCUGAACUGAAACGUGAGGACUGCUGUGCUAAGGGCACUCUACCUAUCUAUGGAUGACCGAGACGAGAGGAAUUGUGAGGAGGAUGCAAACCACCGACCAGGAAGAGGCCUUGCAGGAGGUGACAGAUGGAGGUUUCCAGAACAAAACCCAAGCUGGUGAGCUCUGACGGUUAAGAAGAUUGGCUCCGGACUCUG